AAUUUCCUGCGGUGUGCGUCGCUUGCUAGAAUUAUAACCACAGAAAUAUAAAGGGAUUGUGCGUACGGGUUUGGACGUCAAGCCAAGGCUGACGAAGUCAGCACCAAAAAAUUGGUAGACAAAUACUCCCGUCAACUAACCCACCUCGCUUGUUUGCGGGUUUAUAUUGUGCAAGAAUGACGGCUCAUGCGGGAUUUUU
rnacentral:other from 1 species